rnacentral:rRNA from 1 species
AGCUCUGUAAGCGUAUACCCAAGUUGUUGCAGUUAAAACGCUCGUAGUCGGAGGUUGGCGGGCGAGACGGGGCGUCUUCGCGGACGGUCCUGGGUCGGCCGCCUUUGUGGAGGGGGGCGCGUUGCCACUUAAGUGAGGCAGCGUUGUCGCUGCCACCGUUUACUGUGAAAAAAUUAGAGUGUUCAAAGCGGGCGUUUGCCAUGAAUACCUUAGCAUGGAAUAAUAGAAUAGGACCUGUGUUCUGUUUUGUUGGUUUGUGAGGACCGGGUAAUGAUUAAGAGGGACGGUUGGGGGCAUUUGUAUUCCGGCGUCAGAGGUGAAAUUCUUGGAUUGUCGGAAGACAAACGGCUGCGAAAGCGUCUGCCAAGGACGUUUUCAU